rnacentral:lncRNA from 1 species
GCAGAGCAGCAGGACCCACAGUCAGCCCUAAGUGAGGCCAAGCCAGUAAGCUGGAGAAGCCCGAAGACAGCCGUAGCAGACUUCUCACUUCAUGCUGGAAAGACUCAGAGUUAAGAAGCAUGUGAAAUACUAGCUACGGGAGAAAGCCACACACUUGGGGAAAAGAGAGGAAGACGCAAAUCUGAGAAACAACGAGCUAGCUCAGUUGGUUCCUGGAGUUUACGAGGCCAAGUACACAAUCUGUUCCUGGACACAAGGCACAGCCUGUGGAGUUUGCUAACUGAAUUCCCCACUGUUGGCGGCAUCCUGCUUCAUUAACGACAAGAACCACCAUGAACUGUGUUGUGUGGCCACCUGGGCAGGACCGGCCCAACCAUGUGUGUGCUUAGGUGCCGCUUGCAAAGUCCACACAGAGGAGUGAUUUCCCUUUGUUUUGAGCACAGUGACGUCUUUGUCAUGCUUUUUAGAAACAAAUCACUAAGCUUUUUCAAAAAUCAGAGCAUCCCCAAAUGAUGAUUUCCUAUUAUGUUGCAAAAUUGCCUCAAAGCAUUAUUAAUAUUAUUUACGUCUAAAUUGUGGCUGCUAAGUAAGCUUUAGAAGGAAUUCACUCACAGUCACUGUGGCAAGAUGGAAAUUUACUGUUUCUCUCUUAAAAGACCUUCCUAAUGUAUGACCAACAUCAUGUGCCAUCUCGAAGAGUCAAAAAUGUUUAUUCAUGGGGAAGCUUUUACCUGUGGGUCUUGUCUAAAUGUUAGUCCGGCCAACUCUAAAUUUGGCUGAAGUGUAGAGUGUUUUAAAAAGACAAAGCCAACGAUCAAGCUGUCAGUGAACGGCGAGAAGUGCCAAGGACGUCCACAGCUCCAGACCUCACGCCAGGUGAAACGCCGAAGAUCAGCUGUUUGCUGGGCUGGAAUUGUCUGCCCCAGGAAGUGUCCUUCAAAUCCACAAGGAUUUAGAGUCUUCUUAGAAAUGUUGGGAUAAUCAAAGAUAGAGAAAUGAUACUUUGGGAUUGUGUAGUAAAGAAUUAA